GACGAACGCUGGCGGCGUGCCUCAAACAUGCAAGUCGAGCGGACGGAGACCGAACCGCAAGGGGAGGUUGAAGUUAGCGGCGAACGGGUGAGUAACACGUGGGUAACCUACCCUAAAGUCUGGGACAACGGCCCGAAAGGGCCGCUAAUACCGGAUAAUGUCUUCGGGUCGCAUGGCCUGGGGAAGAAAGCCGAAAGGCGCUUAUGGAUGGGCUCGCGUCCCAUCAGCUAGUUGGUAAGGUAACGGCUUACCAAGGCGACGACGGGUAGCCGGUCUGAGAGGAUGGUCGGCCACACUGGGACUGAGAUACGGCCCAGACUCCUACGGGAGGCAGCAGUCGAGAAUAGUCUACAAUGGUCGGAAGACUGAUAGUGCGACGCCGCGUGAACGAUGAAUCCCUUCGGGGUGUAAAGUUCUUUUAUAUGUGAGCAGUGCUUCUUAUAUUAACAGUAUGGGGAGAGAGAUAUUAGCAUAUGAAUAAGCAAACGGCUAAACUCCGUGCCAGCAGCCGCGGU
rnacentral:rRNA from 1 species